CCCAUUUAUGAGGUUUCUGCUCGGUGUGCACUGUCAAAUGCCUUUUCAAACUUCCAGAUUCAGUAAAUUCCUUACAACAAAUUUCACACUUAUGAGGCUUUUCUCCAGUGUGCACUCUCAAAUGCUUUUUCAAACUUCCUGAUUCUGUAAACUUCUUAAAACAAAUUUCACACUUGUAAGGUUUUUCUCCAGUAUGUCUUCUCAUAUGUCGUGUCAAAUUACCUGCUAAAGAAAACUGCUUUAAACAAAUUUCACACUGGUAAGGCUUUUCCCCAGUAUGAACUCUCAGAUGACUUUUC